GAUGAACGCUGGCGGCGUGCCUAAUACAUGCAAGUCGAGCGAACAGACGAGGAGCUUGCUCCUCUGACGUUAGCGGCGGACGGGUGAGUAACACGUGGAUAACCUACCUAUAAGACUGGGAUAACUUCGGGAAACCGGAGCUAAUACCGGAUAAUAUAUUGAACCGCAUGGUUCAAUAGUGAAAGACGGUUUUGCUGUCACUUAUAGAUGGAUCCGCGCCGCAUUAGCUAGUUGGUAAGGUAACGGCUUACCAAGGCAACGAUGCGUAGCCGACCUGAGAGGGGAAUCGGCCACACGGGAGCUGAAAGACGGACCGGGAUCCAGCGGGGGGCAGGAGUAGGAAGUGUUCCGCAAUGGGCGAAGGCCUAACGGAGGAACGCCGCGUGAGUAAUAAAGGUCUUCGGAGCGUAAAACGCUGUUGUUAGGGAAGAACAAUUGUGUAGUAACUAUGCACGUCUUGACGGUACCUAAUCAGAAAGCCACGGCUAACUACGUG
rnacentral:rRNA from 1 species